CNANCUCAGAUCGGNCGAGAUUACCCGCUGAAUUUAAGCAUAUCACUAAGCGGAGGAAAAGAAACUAACNNGGAUUCCCUCAGUAACGGNGAGUGAAGCGGGAUCAGCCCAGCACCGAAUCCCCCAGUCUUUGGCUGGCGGNAACUGUGGUGUAUGGGACGCCAACUGUCGUCCGACCGGGGACCGAAGUCCUCCUGAUCGGGGCCUCUCCCACAGCGGGUGUCAGGCCUUUACUGGUGCCUGGUCGGUCGGCUGCGAGCGUCUCUCGAGUCGGGUUGUUUGGGAAUGCAGCCCUAAGAGGGUGG
rnacentral:rRNA from 1 species